UCCUCCAUCAACAGCUUUCACAAAAAAAGAUAAUAUGGAAUUCCUUAGGUGGCUGAAGCUGCCUUUAGUCACCAUCCAACCAUUGUCUGGGUCUAUCUCCAAAAUGUCUACCACAGGGACGUGUGCCUCACUGUAAAACAAGAAUUCGAGGACUGAGCUUGGAGCAGUGACACACGUGACACAAGCCUGCUGUUUUACUACACCUCACAUUAGCAGAUGCUCCUCCACCGGGCCCUUCCUUUGCAGGCUGCAACAUAGGUUUACAUUUGCACAUACAUUUUGGUGGAUGACAAUAUACACGUUUCAUCCCUAGGAGAGUGUAGUGAGUAUUUUUUGUAAUACUAAUGUUUAUUCAUUUACUAUUUAUAUUCUGCAUAACCUG